ACUACGGUCAAAUUGAAAGGCAGAGGCUGAGAGGAUUUUGAGGCCACUGUUUUACUAGUCAUUGUGGUUCCCUCUGGAUUUGGGUGCAAAAUAACACAUCAACAUUGCAUAAUUCCAGAAGACAAUAGACACUCACUGUUGGCUUUCUAGUUAAAUUCUUACAUUUUGAAUUUUUCUGGGCAUGAGACAGAGAGAGUUGUUUAGCAUCUGAACUCUGAGCUAACUAUGUUGUUGGCAAGUCCCAAAGGUUCUCCCGGGAUGGGAAAGAAUGUCACUCCCCACACAUGAACAACGUGAUCCCAGAGUCUGAUUUUCUGCAGACCCUUUUCAUGGGCCAGACUCGCCAGCCAAGAUCUGGCCAGAGGUACCCAGGCAGGCAGCCAGGGAAUGUGUUUCUUGCAGCUAUUCUGCUCUCUCUAACUUGCCAGACCCAUUAGGCUCUUUCACAGUUAAAUAUUUCUGAUGCACAUUUCCCCAUAAGCAAAAUCCUGUCUUUUGAAAUCAUGCCAGGGGAAAGACCCCUCCUGAGGAGACUAUGGGAAAAAAACAAAGUAAGAAUUUUCUAAUUCCUGCCUCACAGAACUGACCAAGGUCUGGGAACACACUGCCUACAUGCUUUGAUUUGUGCCAGGAGCCACAUAAGAGGACUUUCUUUUCGCAGAGAGAACACUUGCCAGGCCUUUGAAAAAGUUGUGUUCGUCAGGACCCUGAAGUUCUCCCCUGAUACUGUCUGCAUCUAUUAUCCCAGAGUUAUCCCAUCUAUUAUCCCAAAGCAAUCUUUCAUUGCUUUUUCUUUCUUUCUCUCGCCUCCCUCAAGACAUGUGUGCACAGGGUUACAUUUGGUUACUCUCAGCUCUUGCUCACUUGCUGUUCACUGGGUCAUCUCCUGAGCAUCUUUGAUCUCUUGACAUCAGAAGCCAGGUGCGGUGCUUUAUCACCUUUUUUACUUUCAGGGCCUAGCACUUACACAGAACACAGCCUUACACAGAACAGCACACAAGCAAGGUUUGAUGAAAAAAAAAAUACAUAAUGCCUGACAUAAUUACUACAAGGUUCUAUAGUCUCAAAUGCCAGAUUUCUUAGAGCACAAGAAACUUGGGAAAACUGCUAAGUAGUAAUCAAUUAAUAUUAUUAUAGCUGGGAGAAAUAAUGCUUCAAGGGUAACACCUCUUGAAGGUGAUACUUACUUGCUGAGAAAAUGUACUGGGUGAAUCAUGUAAUAAAUCUGUCCCCAAAGUGAAUACAAGAUCAAAAGACUUCUUAUUUAUAUCAAUUAUUCUGAAAUAAUUUGAUAGUAUCCUAAAUGGUACCCUGAGAAAGGACUGUGAUCUUUAAGCAAGCAAACCCUACUUCCCAAACCCUACUCUUGCCUCUCUCUCAUAUGAGGAUGAAGUGUCUUAUUUUCAAGGAAAGCAUACAGCCCCCCUCCCCGCCCUGCAGAGGCUAAUGACAUCUAAGUGUCAAAUGUCCCUCACUGUUCACUGUCAAGUCUAGAUGGAAAAAUGGGCAACAUUUCUAAAUCAGGUCUCUGGGUUCUUUACUCUCACAUCAGGUGCCUGGUUUUCACCUUUCAUUUCGACGCUGAACAGCUCUUUCAUAUUUCUUCCGAAGCUGUACCAUCUCCUCUUCAAUCAUUGUGAUCAUGUUAGCAAGUCUGUCGAUGUUAUUUAACUGGGCUUCUUUCUUCUCUUUCAUUUCUUGAAGUUUUGCUACAAUUUUGCACACAUCGUUUUGCAUGCUUUCUCUGAUGGUAAUGUUGUUGGCAUGCUUCAGCAUUGAAUUUUGUAGCUUUCUUUAAAAAUAAUGGGAAAAUGGGUAUGAUUAUAACUUCCUUUAGUUUCUUUAAAAACAAUAAAGACUUCAGAAACAUAAACUAUCAAAGUAGCUCUUGCCUUAGUAUGUUCCUUGAAAUGACAAUAGUAUUAGUAAUGAUGAUGUUCAUCAUGUCAUACUCUUUAGGAAUUUCUGUAAUUUUCCAAGUCUCCAACUUCCUCUAAUCUGGAUUAGGACAUCUUUCCUUUGUGCCCCAAGAAUCUGCUGCUCCCCUUUAUCAAAGCAAGAGACUACAGUGAUUCAUUUACUGCUCUUUUGUCCCCAGGGGACUCUGCUGUCUUGAGGGUGAAGGUGGUUAUAUCUGACAAUGUCCACUGGACCUAACGUAGUGCUUGACUUAAUGUGGCAUCAGAAUCAAUGCCGAAUGAAUGCGUGGCCGCUGUAAAUGACAUUUGCUUUCAUGUAGGAUGAGAACCUGAUUAGGAUGUUAGGUUUGCCUUUUCAUAGCGGUCCCCUCUCAGCUCUACCCCCAUCUCCCUUCCUACCCCCCACACAAGAGCCUAUUUUGUAAUAUCUUUAGGAAAGAAAACCAGGCAAUAGUGGCCACCAGAAAAAGUUCAGGUUGUAUAGAUUCUAUAGAUCAGGGACUAAAUACAGGUGGGAGAGUCCACCAGAUCUUGUCACAUGGUAAAUAAUAAAGUUUAAAAAACAAUCCUUGGAUUAAUUCAUUUAAUAACAAAAAGUCCUAUAUAAAGGACUAUUUCUAUGGAUUAAAAAAAGUGGGCCCAGAGAGCUAGGAUUGCAUGCCCAAGGUCACACAACUAGCAAGUGGCAGGACUGGGAUUUGAGUCUAGAAAAGUCACCUCUCUUAACAGCUCUGCUAUACUGCCUCCCACAAGCACAUUAGAUGCUUCAGGACUACAAUCUUGGGAUGCUGGUUAAUUAACAUUUGAUUGUCUUCUAACUUUAAAUGCAGAUUGUCAAAUUUGUGCUUUUAUUUCUAGAUGAAUAAAUGAAAAUAAAAUGAGAAUAGUUACAGGUUUAGUUUUCCCCUCACUUAAAAAAAAUACAGCUCCCAAGUAGAAGCAUAAGGAAUCACAUUCAAAUGCUUAGCUUGUCAUCUCUAAAGCAAGGUAUGUGAGCAAGGGCUUUUCUAGCUUUGUAGAAGACUUGUUUUCUACUUCAUCAUCCCUAGGGUAUUUUAUCAUUCAGUGACUCAGAAGAGAAACUUUUGAAAGGACAGUACUUACUGUAAGACUUACCUUUCUUGAGUAACUGCACUAUUUCUUAAAAUCUCCAGUUCAUUUAAUGACAUUUUAUGCCUUUCUUUUAUUUCAUUGACUUUCUGGUGAGCUUUGUGAAGUAAGUUAAUAAAUUUGUUUCUUUCAUUUCGAAUAGUGUCAUACAGUUUAGCAAACUCUCUAAGUCUGUGAAAACACAAGAAUUUUUGAAACUUGUGAAAUAAAUAUCUGUUUCCCUCUUUAAACUAACUAGAUAAGUCCUCAAGUAAUUGUUUUACCUCCGAUGAAUUUCACGUUUUUUCUUCCUGUGUAUCCGGAUUUCAAGAUCCUUUGCUUUAAUCUCCCUAACAAUGUUGGUAUAUUUUUGCUGAAAUAUAAAAGUUAAUUGUGAAAUUUUUAAAAAGUCCGCCACCAACAGCAUGUGGAUAUUCCCAGCCUCACCCCAUCUCAUAAGUAUCCAAUAAAGACCAUUCUAUCUUCAUCAGCUGGGUUGUGCAGAUCACAGGGAAGAGGUGAGGGCGGGGGCUGAAAAUUACCUGGCCAGCUGAACUGAAUUGCAUUGACUAGGACAAAGGGUUCAUUAAAGGACAGAAAGAUCCAGAGAGGAGGGGAAAAAAGGAGCCUGCCCACGUUGGUUUGAGGAAAACUUCAGGGAACUUUUCAUGAUCCAAAAAAUGAUUACGGAAAGCAUGAUUGGGUUGGAAUGAAGUGCUAUGGUGAGACCAGCCCCAUAAGGAGCAAUGAACUUAUUGGAUUCUUUAUGAUGGAGAAGAGAGCAGAGAAAAAGAAGACACAUGGCAGCUGAUGGGGAAGGAGUACCAUCCAAGGAUACAGAAGGGUUACAUUGGGGGUGCUGACUGCAUACUUGACUCAGAGAAGAUUUCGAGUUGGAUCUUCACAUCAAAAGCUCAUAACUCCAGUCUGAUGUGGUUUAUUUCCUACUGUGACAGCACACACUUGUUGAAUAUUACUGAAAUGUGUCCCAAGAAGAGAAGAUCAUACUCUUUUAGUGAUUUAAAGGUCACUAAACAGGAUCCUUCUGAAGUUGACACUGAUCUUUUAAAGUAGCUGAAAUGUGUCUUUGGAUGCUCCACACCCAUGAACCUGUGCAUCUUCAGUAGCAUUUUUUUUGCCCACAGAGGCCCAAUGACAUCUUGCUUUCCAUGGCCUCUCCUACUGCAGAGAGCUAGCUGCUGAGAAGCAUGUACUGGACUUAGGAAAAUGAGACAUGGUAUUGUGAAAUCCAUGUAACAAUAUAUAGACUUUGUGAUUUGGAUGAGCAGAUAAUUCCUACAGGAGGUCAGAAAAUGGAGAGCUCCACAUAGACUUGAAUAAUCAAGGAAGGUUUCAAGGAAGAGUUGAGAAGCCAGUGAGGAAGACUUUGAUUUUUCCUUCUGGAAAGUAGAGUUAAUUCUUCCUGGACAGAUUGGAGUCCAGCAAGUAUCUUGGUCCCUGACUAUUUCUCUGCCACUGAUGCCCAGGAGCAGGCUGCUCUAAAUGUUGCUCCCAAGUGUAGGCAAAUCUGUACAUGUACACUGACAGGGACUAGAGAAGCUUAUACAGUUUCUACAGAAGAUAUGAUGAGAGCAACUCAACUCCUCUGUAAACUAAAGGCUCCUGACAAAUUUUCCUGGAUUCAGGUCUCAGGCAUUUUAAGUUUUUUCCAAUGUUUUAAAUUACAAACAAUACUACAGUGAAUGAUACUCAUUUUUGAACUCUGUAUAACUGUUUUUUGACAUUUUCUCAAUUCUCCACAAACCCAGCCCUCCAGUUUCAGGAGGGAAUUACAUGUGCUUUGUUUGUGAAAGAGGUAAUAAGGUGAGGCAUUGGUAGCAGAGCUUCCUGGCUGCCUGCUGCUACUGCUGCUGCUGCUAAGUCGCUUCAGUCGUGUCCGACUCUGUGCGACCCCAUAGACGGCAGCCCACUAGGCUCCUCUGUCCCUGGGACUGUCCAGGCAAGAAUACUGGAGUGUGUUGCCAUUUCCUUCUGCCUUUUCCUUCCUGGCUGCCUAGCCAAUAUCUGUCCUCCACUUUGACGUUACUAACAGAACCCCAGUUUUGUUCAGAGCUGCAGUGUAUCCAAAAAUCUUCAAACUCCUUCAAAGUUGGGGGUGAUGAUAAGAGCCAGGGCGGGCCAAUAAAAUGUAACUGGAGGGGCUCCUGGAAAAGUGACUGUUUUAGAAACACAGUGUCAGCCAGGUCAGCUGCCAUAUGCAUUUUGCUCUCUGCCCUUCCUCACUUCUGUAUGAUCUUAUGCCCAGAGGCUUAAUGGCCAUUUUGUAACCUUGGAGAAAAAACAUGCAUAUUAUAGAUGACAGACGAGAAAGCUCAGAGGCUCUGGACUUUCCAUUAUGUGAAAAUGCUUGGUGUGUGCCUAUCUUUGGAUUUUUUAAUUAUUUGAAUGAAGCAACCCCUAUUUACUUAAGCCACUGUAACUGAGUGUCUAUUACUUCUUGAAGCCAAAUUAAAAACCUGAUUGAUA